CCUACGGGAGGCAGCAGUGGGGAAUAUUGGACAAUGGACGCAACUCUGACCCAGCAACGCCGCGUGAAGGAAGAAGGCCUUAGGGUUGUAAACCUAUGUUGUUAAGGAAGAAAAGAAUGACGGUACUUUACAAGAAAGUCCACGCUAACUAUGUGCCAGCAGCCGCGGUAAGACAUAGGAGGCAAGCGUUGUUCGGAAUUACUGGGCGUAUAGGGAGCGUAGGCGGGAGGUUAAGGUUAGAGUGAAAGCCUUGGGCUCAACCCAAGAAAUGCUGUUAAUACUGGGUUUCUAGAGUGUGGGAGAGGUAAGUGGAAUUCCUAGUGUAGCGGUAGAAUGCGUAGAGAUUAGGAGGAACAUCAGAGGCGAAGGCGGCUUACUGGACCAUAACUGACGCUGAGGCUCGAAAGCGUGGGUAGCAAACAGGAUUAGAUACCCGUGUAGUA
rnacentral:rRNA from 1 species